rnacentral:misc_RNA from 1 species
AACGCACAUUGCGCCCCUUGGUAUUCCGGGGGGCAUGCCUGUUCGAGCGUCAUUACACCAAUCAAGCACCGCUUGGCAUUAGGUCACUUCGCCCCCGGUCCCCCUCGCGGGGACGGCGGGGCGGGCCUCAAACCCAUCGGAGGAGUCUCACUGGCUUUGGGCGUAGCAGAAUUUCUAAAACGUCGAGAGCAGCGGGCCCCCAGCCGCGAAGAACGGCGGUCGAGAGACCCCAUCUUUUCUCAAAGGUUGACCUCGGAUCAGGUAGGAAUACCCGCUGAACUUAA